rnacentral:rRNA from 1 species
UACAGAGGUCUCAAGCGUUGUUCGGAUUCAUUGGGCGUAAAGGGUGUGUAGGUGGCGCGGUAAGUCGGGUGUGAAAUCUCGGGGCUUAACUCCGAAACUGCAUUCGAUACUGCCGUGCUUGAGGACUGGAGAGGAGACUGGAAUUUACGGUGUAGCGGUGAAAUGCGUAGAUAUCGUAAGGAAGACCAGUGGCGAAGGCGGGUCUCUGGACAGUUCCUGACGCUGAGGCACGAAGGCCAGGGGAGCAAACGGG